CUUAAAGCUUUAUCCCUGUGAGUACCAGAAAAGUGAUCUGAGUAUUUAUUAAACAGAGAACAAACUGCCUACUUCAGGCAGGGAGGAAGCGUAUGGAAAUUAUAUUAGAACUUCAGCAAAGUGCAGAGCUGCAUAAUACAGAAGCUGGGACUCAAAUUGACAGGCUAAUAAGCCAGCUCACUGAAGGGGGCUCUGUGUGGCAGCUCUGAGCUACUAAGUGUUGGACAACUAUAGGCAAAAUGUGAAAUGGAACAGGGCAGAAAAUAACACACUAACUUCAGGCAACUGUUGCUUUCUCCUGGUCUUCAGGGAUUUUACAUUCUGUAGCUGGCAAAACAAGUCCCCAUUUAAAUAUUAAGCUUACUACACUAAUGACUGUGAAGUACUUGUUCCCUGGAACUGCACCUGUUCAGCAUGACACCUUGCUUUGCUGGUGAUGUCACAUGCAGCACUGACUAUAAUUGGAGAAUGGAACCUCUUUGUGGGUGCAAGGUGGAUGACUGCCGUUAUGACUUUUGCAAAAAGAUCCUUUUUGUUUCACAGAUUAGGGGAGUGAAAUCAUUACUGGAUACAGAAAAGAAAAUAAACUAAUCCACACUCAUGAGACACCUGGCUCCCAGCCAGGCAAAGGAGAAAAUAAGGACAGGAAAUCUCUUAGCUGCAUGGUGGAUUGGAGGACCAGACAAGACAAUUUUAGACUCACGCUUAUUGUGAUCUCCUCAGUGCUUGUUAUCGUAUAUUCUUCAGAGGUCUGCCCACUAUGAUAAAUUGUACAGGCACUUGCAACAAGGAUUGGUGCAGCUUUUGCGCAGUGCUUUGUGCUUGGAAUUCCGAGAAGAACGAAAAAGAAGACAGGCAUCCUGGUCCUAUUCCGAGAAAUAACAGGAGCCUAAGAAGAAACAAAUCUGAGUUUGUCCUAGAUACAAGAGUGAUGGAAAAAAUGUGAAUCUCCUGCUUCAAAAAAAAAAAAAAAAAUCUGGCAUGUUUAACUACAGAGACAUCAGGAUGUGUUAGAGCUUCUUAAAACAAUAUAACUAAAUGAGCCUAAGCGAUUGUUUCUUUUAUUUACCAAAAAAAUCUGAAUUUUAUUUUAUUAUUGCUUAAAUAGCAAUAUUUGGCAGUGGGUGAAAACGUACCUUUCAUUUCAGUGCAAGGAAAAAUUAAAACAGAAAUGAAAAAUGAAGAAGUUGGUUAUACCAGAAAUCACUGAAGGCCUGAGCGCAAAUGUUUCUGGCAUGUUCAAGCAAGCUGGCCAGCACACCAGGAGCAUCAGGAAGAUGAUGCAGAGUCAACCACAGCACACUGUGUCCCAGACUGCCUGCACCAGAGUUCAGACAGUCUUGUCUGCUACCUGCUUUUGUCCCACAGUUGGGAGCUUUUGCCUUGUCCCCUGUCCUGCGUCCAAGCAUGUUGAUGUCAGUGGCACAUGCAGGCUUCUGCUGUGAGGAACAGUCAGCACCAGGUUUCAGUGGGCUCUCUUGAAACACUCUAUGCUGCAGCUGCUGGGAUGGCUCUUGUGCCAGAAAGGAUUAGAAUCACUCUACCCCCCCCUGCCCUAGGCAGGCCUUCAAGCUGAACCGCUUCCUGAAGAGCACUGAAUUUUCUAUACCAGAUUCUACUUCAGUGGCCAGGACCUUUAUGGCCACUGAUUCUUUUGCUCUGGGUUCUGAAAAAACAUCGUGGAUCCAUCCCUAAAGUAGAAAUGUUCUUUUCCGUCCCGCAAGCAAGGCUAAAGAUUGGAGGAGAAUGAAUGUGAAUCUAAUUCAGGAUUGCGGUCGUGCCAUUAAAAGUUUUCAGCUUCAGAACAAAAUGAUUUGGGAAAUAUGAUCAGUUUUCUUACUCUAUCAACAAUGUUUAAAAGUUGUAGGUGGUUCAAGCGACUUGACUCAAAUAACGACAAUCUUUGCAUGUCAAUAAUGGCUACAGUUUAAGGAGUGAAAGAUAGUUUUGAGUUUAGAAAAGAAGAAACUGUUAAUAUCAGCCUGUAAUGGGAUUAAAUGUUGAAUAUGGGGAAGAGGCAAAAAGCAAAUAGAUGCCCGAAAGUUAUCCUUGCACUGAGGAUGGGUUUAAAGUGCUGUAUAUCCUAGGGCCCACCUUACUGAAGAGGUAUAAUGGGGAAAUAUUUCAAUUAGAAACCCAUUAACAAGCAUUUAAUCCUUCUUUAAGGCAUUAGAGGAAAUAGAAUAAAACAUUUACUGUACAAAUCUGCUGCAAGCAGACUUUAACCCAUUUAUAGACUUAUCCUUCUGAUGUAUUGUACUAUGGCUACUCAAGAGUCAGGAUAGUAAAGAUUUUAUUUGUACUCCUUUUUUCCAAAGUUGUGGAAUCUAUUCUAAGAAGUGUCUUGAUCAAUCAGCUGAUAUUAUUGUUUUGAAUGUCUGUAUGUAUAUUGUCUACUUAUUUGAUCUUUUCCAACCCCUGCUUGAAAAGGUGGGUUUUUUAUACAACAGCAACAAAAGUUUUACUGAAUGUAAUCUUGACGACUAAGUGAUUCAGAUUAUUUGAAGAAGAAUUCUACUGGAUCAUAUCGGACUUUUCCUAGUCCCUGAGACCCUAACUUGUGAGGUUUUUUAGCAACAAUCACAAGUCAGGCUCUUGGGACCUAGGCGGAGGGGAACCAGCAGCUUUGGACUUUAUUGAUUGUUUAUCUGCAAUAUUAACAGAACCAAAGGAGAUUUUCUUAUCUGGGGGAAAAUAUUUAUUUCAGAUGUUAAGCAUUAGUGUUAUGCUACAAAAAAAUUGCUGCUAUGUAUUGUACAAUAUAAAGAUUCUACAUAAUUUGUAUGUUUGGAAACCUAUAUUGUAGUGGAUAACGUAACAUUUCAAAUUAAAAUUUAAAAUGAAUGACAGAUAUCUACAUAAAAAAAUCAAGUACUGAAGGAUAAAUGCACUGUUUUCAACCAUAAGUUGCUAUUAUGGAUCCUUCUGGUGGAUAAUAAAACAAAACACAUUUCCAAAUGUAUUGCUAUAAUAUUUAAUGAACUUUUUGAAACUUUACAAAUUAUACAUUGAUCUGUGAGGCCUAGCAAAUGCAUUGAUACUGUUGUCUUUGGGGUAAUAAUCUGAGCAUGCAAGAAAACUGUUGCUUCUCUUUUCCUGUAAGGCAGUGCAGAGAUUCCUUUAUAGUUGUUACUAUUUCUCUUAGUCUAUAUAAUAAUACAAUACAGGUUCUCAUUUGGUGUAUUAACCUCUUACUCUGAAAGAAAAGAGAAAGCUGGUGUCAAAUUCAUAAUGCUGUGUUGAAGUCACUUUGCACACAGAACUACAUACUUUUCAUCUACUUACUGUAUCUCAGCAGAGAAGACCGGACACCAGGAAUUAGGCUCAAACUUUAGUCUCUUCCCUCACUUUUUACUUUUCACUUAUAAAAACAGACUAACUGUUGUGUUGUCCCCAUAUGCUGAAUACUUCAGUGACUUCAGCAUAAGAUUUACCAGGACACAGCUACUUUGUAAUGUCUAUCACUCCUAAAGUGCUGAACCAGAACACAGAACAUUUGACUGUAUUUCUUAAUAUUUUAUAAGUAGUUUGGUCCUGAUUAAUUUUUGUUUGUUUCCUGUAUCUAACCCAAGAUGGUGCAGCACCCUGUUAAUAGUGUACUAAUGUCACACUUCACUGAUUGAAACAAAGGCUUUACUUAGGGCAAGCAUCUAAACAAUUUGGUCAUUUUGAAACUGAUAUUUUGGCUCCAGUUUAUUUUUUCCAUGUAUGUGGGAGGAAUUGUGUUUUAUUGUAAUGCUAUUGUUAAAAUAAAUUAUUAUUAAACAGAAUAAUUCAAAG